GAAGUACUCCCUCCGUUCCAAAUUACUCGUCGCAGAAAUGGAUGUAUCUAGAACUAAAAUAUAUUUAGAUACAUCCAUUUCUGCGACGAGUAAUUCGGAACGGAGGGAGUAGAUA
rnacentral:pre_miRNA from 1 species